rnacentral:rRNA from 1 species
UAUUGGUCAAUGGACGAGAGUCUGAACCAGCCAAGUAGCGUGAAGGAUGACUGCCCUAUGGGUUGUAAACUUCUUUUAUAUGGGAAUAAAGUGCAGUAUGUAUACUGCUUUGCAUGUACCUUAUGAAUAAGGAUCGGCUAACUCCGUGCCAGCAGCCGCGGUAAUACGGGGGAUGCAAGCGUUAUCCGGAUUUAUUGGGUUUAAAGGGUGCGUAGGCUGUGAGGUAAGUCAGCGGUGAAAUGCCCCCGCUCAACGGGGUGAAGUGCCAUUGAUACUGCCUUGCUGGAAUGCGGAUGCCGUGGGAGGAAUGUGUGGUGUAGCGGUGAAAUGCAUAGAUAUCACGAAGAACUCCGAUUGCGAAGGCAGCUCACUGGACUGUUGACUGACACUGAGGCUCGAAAGUGUGGGUAUCAAAC